rnacentral:rRNA from 1 species
UCACUUUCAACAACGGAUCUCUUGGCUCUCGCAACGAUGAAGAACGUAGCGAAGUGCGAUAAGUAGUGUGAAUUGCAGAAUUCCGUGAAUCAUCGAAUUUUUGAACGCAAAUUGCACUCCCUGGCAUUCCUGGGAGUAUGCCUGUUUGAGGGUCAGCU